CGGGGUAAGAAAAUAAGACUGCCACUGCAGAGAGGUGCAGUGUCCGAGCUGAGUUAUACUGCCGAAAUUACCCAUUAACUAUGGGAAUGUACACGGUGAGUGCUUAAAGCCUUUCUAGGAAAUGUGACUUGUUGGUCUCCUCCAAGGUAAAAAGCCCUGGGUCUGUUUAUAACAAAACACACAUUUGGAGCAAGGGCCUUGUGUUAACUCAGAAUUUUAUGCUCUGGAGUAGAACUGUCCUCCCUGUCCCCCUCCAAAAAAACCCAAAAACACAAAAAAACCCCCCCCCAAAAACAUUUCUUAGGUGAAUAAUGCAAAUUUAGCAAUGCUGAAUGCUGCCCAAUAUUGAUUGAUUUGGCAGAAUGUUUUUGUUUUGGAGGUGGGAAUCUGAUUUUUUUGCUGGUUCUGUUCUAGAACGAUUGAUCUCCACCUCUGACGCAUCCGACCCCAAGUCUACGGAUCGAGGGCUUACGCAGAAGGCAGGUGAUGCAAACCAAAGGGGCACAGGGUGGUUAAAGCGAGCUUCCCUCUGUACCAUCUCCCACACAGAUGCACGCUUAAGACUGCUGCAGACAACUGUAUAAUGUGCAGCAGAUGUGUAACGUGCGAGUCACUCUCCAGCUUUCCAGGGGACAAUAGAUGGAUUGCUCCAGACCCAGUGUUCUCCUAUCUUAGCACAUUUUCCAAGUGCCUUUUAUUAUUUUCCAUCCCACAUUAAAACUAAACGACAGCAUUUUAAGCUUCACCACUGUUUGGAGUGACGUCUGCAGAAGAGUAUUUAAAUGAUCUUAUUUUACAUUCCUGCAGAGUUACAUUAUAGGACUUACAAGAGACAUUACCAGUGUAUGGAGUUUAGAGAGCUACAAAACAGCUGCAUGUGACACGUCGUCAUUUAUUUCCAUGACUGUCUGAGAAAUGACUGAGAAUCUACAGGAUGCAAAUUACUAGAAGCUCAGAGGAUGGAGUGAAACGCAAAUAAUGUGUCUGUGUGCAUGGACCAAUGGAGUCUAGAGACCGUGACUGGUAAAAAAAAUCGAGAGGAGGGAAAUGAGUGGAGCGCUGUCUGAACUCCUACCCCCACUGGAUUGCAACUGCUGUUUCUAAGAGGCUGUGGAAAGGAACCCACCAGUGAACAUUGUGAAUGACCUUCAUUUCUCACUGUGACUGUCACUCUGCAAUCGUGUACCGCAAAGCUUUUGCCAAAUUCUCGGAGGGGAAGGCCUGUGUGAUUCGUGUGACUAGUGGAGAUGAUGGUGUUGGCAGACAGCAAGCCAAGCAUCCCUGAGCCCUUUUAAACACCAGCUCAGAGUCUGCCUGGACCAAACAAACUCCAGACAGGGUCUGUUUAGGCUUCAUUCACCUCGAAUAUACAGAUUUGUUCCUGGCCAGAGCUGUGUUUGCUGGGGCAGAGUCUGGCUGUUCCUUGCCUUGAUGACUGGGCUGCUUUUGUGAAUGAGGUGCAGCCUCACUGUGGGCCUUUAACUGUGUUUAAUUUUGAUUUGGUUUGGUUUGGCCUAGAUGCUGAGACCCUCUUUUGUUUCAAGAAGAGGUUUGCAAAGAAAAAUGAAUGGGAGGAAUCCCAUUCUGUUUGCUUGCUGAUGUGGAGAUCGGAAAGUGCCAGUAUCUCUCAACGUGCAUUCCUCCUGCAGGCCUGAAAGGGAAACACGGUAUAAGCUGUAAGAUGAUGUAUUAGCAGUUGGCUAAGCAGAGCAGAAAAAAGCAGAACAAAUACAUCCCUGCCCUGUCCUAACAGAGACGGAGAGAGAAACUGUGUCUUAAAUCCACAGCUGUAAUAAACAGUGGUAUGCUCAGCCA
rnacentral:lncRNA from 1 species